rnacentral:rRNA from 1 species
GGGGACAGGGGGGAGGCUACCAUGCAAGUCGAGCGGAGAGAGGUAGCUUGCUACUGAUCUUAGCGGCGGACGGGUGAGUAAUGCUUAGGAAUCUGCCUAUUAGUGGGGGACAACAUCUCGAAAGGGAUGCUAAUACCGCAUACGUCCUACGGGAGAAAGCAGGGGAUCUUCGGACCUUGCGCUAAUAGAUGAGCCUAAGUCGGAUUAGCUAGUUGGUGGGGUAAAGGCCUACCAAGGCGACGAUCUGUAGCGGGUCUGAGAGGAUGAUCCGCCACACUGGGACUGAGACACGGCCCAGACUCCUACGGGAGGCAGCAGUGGGGAAUAUUGGACAAUGGGGGGAACCCUGAUCCAGCCAUGCCGCGUGUGUGAAGAAGGCCUUAUGGUUGUAAAGCACUUUAAGCGAGGAGGAGGCUACUUUAGUUAAUACCUAGAGAUAGUGGACGUUACUCGCAGAAUAAGCACCGGCUAACUCUGUGCCAGCAGCCGCGGUAAUACAGAGGGUGCAAGCGUUAAUCGGAUUUACUGGGCGUAAAGCGCGCGUAGGCGGCUAAUUAAGUCAAAUGUGAAAUCCCCGAGCUUAACUUGGGAAUUGCAUUCGAUACUGGUUAGCUAGAGUGUGGGAGAGGAUGGUAGAAUUCCAGGUGUAGCGGUGAAAUGCGUAGAGAUCUGGAGGAAUACCGAUGGCGAAGGCAGCCAUCUGGCCUAACACUGACGCUGAGGUGCGAAAGCAUGGGGAGCAAACAGGAUUAGAUACCCUGGUAGUCCAUGCCGUAAACGAUGUCUACUAGCCGUUGGGGCCUUUGAGGCUUUAGUGGCGCAGCUAACGCGAUAAGUAGACCGCCUGGGGAGUACGGUCGCAAGACUAAAACUCAAAUGAAUUGACGGGGGCCCGCACAAGCGGUGGAGCAUGUGGUUUAAUUCGAUGCAACGCGAAGAACCUUACCUGGCCUUGACAUAGUAAGAACUUUCCAGAGAUGGAUUGGUGCCUUCGGGAACUUACAUACAGGUGCUGCAUGGCUGUCGUCAGCUCGUGUCGUGAGAUGUUGGGUUAAGUCCCGCAACGAGCGCAACCCUUUUCCUUAUUUGCCAGCGAGUAAUGUCGGGAACUUUAAGGAUACUGCCAGUGACAAACUGGAGGAAGGCGGGGACGACGUCAAGUCAUCAUGGCCCUUACGGCCAGGGCUACACACGUGCUACAAUGGUCGGUACAAAGGGUUGCUACACAGCGAUGUGAUGCUAAUCUCAAAAAGCCGAUCGUAGUCCGGAUUGGAGUCUGCAACUCGACUCCAUGAAGUCGGAAUCGCUAGUAAUCGCGGAUCAGAAUGCCGCGGUGAAUACGUUCCCGGGCCUUGUACACACCGCCCGUCACACCAUGGGAGUUUGUUGCACCAGAAGUAGCUAGCCUAACUGCAAAGAGGGCGGUUACCACGGU